GAUGAACGCUGGCGGCGUGCCUAAUACAUGCAAGUCGAGCGAACAGACGAGGAGCUUGCUCCUCUGACGUUAGCGGCGGACGGGUGAGUAACACGUGGAUAACCUACCUAUAAGACUGGGAUAACUUCGGGAAACCGGAGCUAAUACAGGAUAAUAUAUUGAACCGCAUGGUUCAAUAGUGAAAGACGGUUUUGCUGUCACUUAUAGAUGGAUCCGCGCCGCAUUAGCUAGUUGGUAAGGUAACGGCUUACCAAGGCAACGAUGCGUAGCUGACCUGAGAGGGUGAUCAGCCACACUGGAACUGAGACACGGUCCAGACUCCUACGGGAGGCAGCAGUAGGGAAUCUUCCGCAAUGGGCGAAAGCCUGACGGAGCAACGCCGCGUGAGUGAUGAAGGUCUUCGGAUCGUAAAACUCUGUUAUUAGGGAAGAACAAAUGUGUAAGUAACUAUGCACGUCUUGACGGUACCUAAUCAGAAAGCCACGGCUAACUACGUG
rnacentral:rRNA from 1 species